ACCUGGGUGGCUCAGUCAGUUGAGCAUCUAACUUUGGCUCAGGUCAUCAUCUUGUGGUUUGUGGGUUCGAGCCCUGCAUCAGGUU
rnacentral:tRNA from 1 species